AGGGCACUAUAAGGAUAUGUAACACUAGACACCAUCAUCUCCCACACAUAAACUCCAAUUACCCCUAAAAAUAGGUAGUUCUCUGAACAGACAGUAGAAGGUUGAUUGUUAUUGUAACUUUACUAUUCCUUAUUCUUAUCUUAGAGAAGGAAAUUUAAGCAUGGUGAUAAAAAUUUAAGUUAGAAUAAGUUUUGUUUUUUAAUGAAAGGCAAGUUCCAUGUAACCGGGCAAGUUAGGCAAAC
rnacentral:lncRNA from 1 species